rnacentral:rRNA from 1 species
GAUGAACGCUGGCGGCGUGCCUAAUACAUGCAAGUCGAGCGAACAGACGAGGAGCUUGCUCCUCUGACGUUAGCGGCGGACGGGUGAGUAACACGUGGAUAACCUACCUAUAAGACUGGGAUAACUUCGGGAAACCGGAGCUAAUACCGGAUAAUAUAUUGAACCGCAUGGUUCAAUAGUGAAAGACGGUUUUGCUGUCACUUAUAGAUGGAUCCGCGCCGCAUUAGCUAGUUGGUAAGGUAACGGCUUACCAAGGCGACGAUGCGUAGCCGACCUGAGAGGGUGAUCGGCCACCCUGGACCUGAGACGCGGCCCAGCCCCCCACGGGGGGGAGCAGUAGAGAAUCUUCCGAAAUGGGCGAAAGCCUGCCGGAGCAACGCCGCGUGAGUGAUGAAGGUCUUCGUAUCGUAAAACUCUGUUAUUAGGGAAAAACAAAUGUGUAAGUAACUAUGCACGUCUUGACGGUACCUAAUCAGAAAGCCACGGCUACCUACG